AUUGAACGCUGGCGGCAGGCCUAACACAUGCAAGUCGAGCGAGAAAGGUCUUCGGGCUGAGUACAGCGGCGGACGGGUGAGUAACGCGUAGGAAUCUACCUGGUAGUGGGGGACAACAUGGUGAAAACCAUGCUAAUACCGCAUACGCCCUAUGGGGGAAAGCGGGGGACCUUCGGGCCUCGCGCUAUCAGAUGAGCCUGCGUAGGAUUAGCUUGUUGGUGAGGUAAAGGCUCACCAAGGCGACGAUCCUUAGCUGGUCUGAGAGGAUGAUCAGCCACACUGGAACUGAGACACGGUCCAGACUCCUACGGGAGGCAGCAGUGGGGAAUAUUGGACAAUGGGCGAAAGCCUGAUCCAGCAAUGCCGCGUGUGUGAAGAAGGCCUGCGGGUUGUAAAGCACUUUCAGUAGGGAAGAUUAUGACGGUACCUACAGAAGAAGCACCGGCUAACUCCGUGCCAGCAGCCGCGGUAAAGUGACU
rnacentral:rRNA from 1 species